rnacentral:rRNA from 1 species
AUUGAACGCUGGCGGCAUGCCUUACACAUGCAAGUCGAACGGCAGCGCGGGAGCAAUCCUGGCGGCGAGUGGCGAACGGGUGAGUAAUAUAUCGGAACGUGCCCAGUAGUGGGGGAUAGCCCGGCGAAAGCCGGAUUAAUACCGCAUACGACCUACGGGUGAAAGGGGGGGAUCGCAAGACCUCUCGCUAUUGGAGCGGCCGAUAUCAGAUUAGGUAGUUGGUGGGGUAAAGGCCCACCAAGCCUGCGAUCUGUAGUUGGUCUGAGAGGACGACCAGCCACACUGGGACUGAGACACGGCCCAGACUCCUACGGGAGGCAGCAGUGGGGAAUUUUGGACAAUGGGGGCAACCCUGAUCCAGCAAUGCCGCGUGCAGGAAGAAGGCCUUCGGGUUGUAAACUGCUUUUGUCAGGGAAGAAAUCUUCUGGGUUAACACCUCGGGAGGAUGACGGUACCUGAAGAAUAAGCACCGGCUAACUACGUGCCAGCAGCCGCCGUAA